rnacentral:rRNA from 1 species
AUCCGCCACACUGGUACUGAGACACGGACCAGACUCCUACGGGAGGCAGCAGUGAGGAAUAUUGCACAAUGGGGGAAACCCUGAUGCAGCAACGCCGCGUGGAGGAUGACGCAUUUCGGUGUGUAAACUCCUUUUAUGAGUCAAGAAAAUGACGGUAGCUCAUGAAUAAGCACCGGCUAACUCCGUGCCAGCAGCCGCGGUAAUACGGAGGGUGCAAGCGUUAUUCGGAAUCACUGGGCGUAAAGGACGCGUAGGCGGGAUGCCAAGUCUGAUGUGAAAUCCUAUGGCUUAACCAUAGAACUGCAUUGGAAACUGGUAACCUAGAGUAUGGGAGGGGGAGAUGGAAUUAGUGGUGUAGGGGUAAAAUCCGUAGAUAUCACUAGGAAUACCGAAAGCGAAGGCGAUCUCCUGGAACAAUACUGACGCUAAGGCGUGAAAGCGUGGGGAGCAAACGGGAUUAGAUACCCCGGUAGUCCACGCCCUAAACGAUGUUCACUAGUCGUCGGAAUGCUAGUCAUUUCGGUGAUGCACUUAACAGAUUAAGUGAACCGCCUGGGGAGUACGGUCGCAAGAUUAAAACUCAAAGGAAUAGACGGGGACCCGCACAAGUGGUGGAGCAUGUGGUUUAAUUCGAAAAUACGCGAAGAACCUUACCUAGCCUUGACAUUGAUAGAAUACCCUAGAGAUAGAGUAGUGCCCUUCGGGGAACUUGAAAACAGGUGCUGCACGGCUGUCGUCAGCUCGUGUCGUGAGAUGUUGGGUUAAGUCCCGCAACGAGCGCAACCCUCGUCCUUAGUUGCCAGCAGGUUAAGCUGGGCACUCUAAGGAGACUGCCUUCGCAAGGAGGAGGGAGGUGAGGACGACGUCAAGUCAUCAUGGCCCUUAUGGCUAGGGCUACACACGUGCUACAAUGGGGCGUACAGAGAGUUGCGAUACCGCGAGGUGGAGCCAAUCUCAUAAAGCGUCUCUCAGUUCGGAUUGAAGUCUGCAACUCGACUUCAUGAAGCUGGAAUCACUAGUAAUCGUAGAUCAGCAAUGCUACGGUGAAUACGUUCCCGGGUCUUGUACUCACCGCCCGUCACACCAUGGGAGUUGAUUUCACCCGAAAUUGGGAAGCUAACCUUCGGGGGGCUACCACUUACGGUGGAAUUAGCGACUGGGGUGAAGUCGUAACAAGGUAACCGUAGGAACCUGCGGUUG